rnacentral:pre_miRNA from 1 species
GGAAGUUAAAAAACUGUUUCUUAACUUUUAACUAAAAAAGUUAAGAACCGGUUCUUAAAAUCCUUAUUUAAAAACCGGUUCUUAGCUUUUUUAGUUAAAGUUAAGAAACAAUUUUUUAACUUCC